GUCUGGUAGUUGUUUUUCUCUUUGACAUCUGGUGGGAGGGCGUUCCACAGGGCGGGUGCCACUACCGAGAAGGCCCUCUGCCUGGUUCCCUGUAACUUGGCUUCUCGCAGCGAGGGAACCGCCACUUCCCCAACUGGCUCCAAAAUAAAGCCAGUAUCCUAAAACUGGCUCCAAAAUAAAGCAAUGCUUUAUAGAAGCUAUUUUAUUACAUGAUGGAAUUGCACAGUAUGUUCUGUGUAUGCCACUGGAGGUCCGGUGGCAAAAACACUGGGGUUUCCCACUGUUCGGUUGUUGUACAGGUGACAAUGCCUCACACAAAGGUCACAUCCAUAUUAUUAUUAUUAUUAUUAUCCCCUGCACAUCUAGCUAGAUUGCCCCAGCCACUCUGGGUGGCUUCCAACACAAAUAAAAACAAAGCAAAGCAUCAAACAUUAUGAACUUUCUGAUACAGGCUGCUUUCAGGUGUCUUCUAAAAGUUGUAUAGUUAUUUAUCUCCUUGAAAUCUGAUGGGAGAAUGUUCCACAGGGUGGGCACCACUGCCAAAAUGAACCUCUGUCCUGUUCCCUGUAAUUUCACUUCUCGCAAUGAGGGAACUGCCAGAGCUGGACCUCAGUGUCAGAUCUGAACAACAUUGGUGGAGGGGCUCCUUCAGGUGUACAUUUAUACAUUUAAUGCAGUCUCAUACCGCUUUAAAGCCAUGGCUUCUCCCAAAGAAUCAUGGGAAGUGUAGUUUGUUAAGGAUGUUGGGAGGUGUGUGUCAUUUUGCAUUUCUUAGUACAGAUUUAUCUGAUGUGUAGGAAUUAUUGAUCUGAUGUGGAACCCUAUUCCAGAGGGUUCUGGAAGCUUCUCUGUGUGAAAGAAGCAAGCAGAAGGUUCAUAAUGUUUGUGUUAUUCCUUCAGAGAAGCUAAGCACAGCUGGUUUAAACUGGUUCUCUUAGCCCAGGCUUCCUCAGACUCGGCCCUCCAGAUGUUUUUGGCCUCCAACUCCCAUGAUUCCUAGCUAACAGGACCAGUGGUCAUGGAUGAUGGGAACUGUAGUCCCAAAACAUCUGGAGGGCCGAGUUUGCCCAUGCCUGGCCAAGGCCGCCCAAGUGCCAUAUUGGUGCUUUAAAUGUAUGGUGUGGUUGUGGCCAGAUUCAAGCUACAGUCCUGUGCUGCCAGCCACGGCAGAGCUCAGUGGAGGGAGAAGCCAGCCAACCAGUCGAAUCUCAGGGGGGUACUUGCCUGGAGGCAGAGUCCGUAUACAAGGUCCAGUCCCAAGGU